AAAAAAAAAAAAGAUAUAAAUGUUAUUUUUUAUACAUUUUAUACAAACUCAUUGUUAAUUUGAAGCUAAUUUAUUACUCAGAAAAAGAUGAUUUGUUAAAACUACAUUUUGAUGACCUGUAUCUUUUUCUGGAUCUUUUAAUUUUUUUCCAAGAAUACAUGUACAUUAUGCCACAUCCACUUAUAACAAAAAAAGUUAAUUUUUAUCCUGAGAAAUCUUUGCUACAUCUCAUCAGUACUUUUUUUUUAACAGUAAGAAAUAGAUGGAGUGUUUACUUUUACACAAUAUAAGAUGUUUCUAUCAUUUCACUUAGUAAUAUGUUAUAGUCAGGAGUAAUCAUCUAUUUCCCCUGUUAAAUGGAUGGAAUUUAAAAGGAUUUUAUGCCACCAUUGCAGUUCAUACCUAUUAUUAUGUUUACUAGAACAAGUGAAUAAGCUUGAACAAGAGAUUACUCCAGAAUUGCUCUUGAAAAAAAGCUAAUGUUUUCUAACAGGAGGCACCUUUGAGGUAGUGAAUCCAUAUACGAACUGAUAGCUAUGCUAUCAGACAAUAAAAAUCUGUGACUCCUGAAGAGGAUCAACUGUUAAUGAGAGAAACUGUUUUAGAGAACCCAGGAAGUAUGCUUCCCCUCCGCCAGAGGGGUUAUGGAGUGUUUCGGAAGAAUACUAUGAGAAUUUGAGGUCCAAAAUAUUUCUUUCCAUUUGAAUUAGAAUUGCAAAUCCAAUUCACACUGGACGAAGAUCCUAUUUAUUUCUUUAUAUUCUAUGGAAAGUGCUAUCCCCCGGUGACAUGGCAACCAUAGCAAACAUAGCAAAUAAAGCUCUAAAUUUUAAUAAUGAGAGUUACUUGAAAGCAAUGACAGCACAGCCAAACGUAUCUUUGUAGUAAAAUUUUGUGCAUAUAGGAGAUAUUCCAUAGAUAUUUGUUAAGCUGAACUAGAUAAAAUCUAUACUGUCUUUGUGGAACAUUAUAAAGAUUGAAAAAUUGUUGAAAAUGUUGCUUAUAAAAACCAAAAGUUAGGUGACUUAAGUAUCUUAUAUUCUGGUGGAAGAAUACCAUCCAUUUAACCCAGUGUACUCCUCUACCUUUUGGAGUCUUCAUAUUAAAAAAUAUUAAAAUAUUUGUUGAUUGAAUGUAAAGUAAUAUGAGUCUCUUCUACUUCACAGAAUUUGAGAUUGGAAAAGUUAAGAUGCUCAUACUAAAAGAAGUGAUACAUAUGCUUCAAAUCUCUUUGAUAUAUAGAGACAUGGACACCAACUAACUGUGGUGUGAAGACUCCUUUGAAAAUUGGACUUCCACAGUAGAGCUUAACGGGUAAAAGCAUGCAUUUAGGAGUAAGCAGGGGGCCUGAACUUUGGUGUUAUCAGUAACCAGCUAUGUAACCAUGGGUCAAGGCUAUUGCACAAACACAGUCAGACUUCAUUAGAACAAGCAUGGAAAUCUGAGAUGUAACAUGUGCAUCAGGCACUCACAUGGCACAGCCUGGCAGCUGUCCCUGAGGACAUCAAAUACAGCUCAGAGUGAAAGGUUACUCAGCUUCUCAAACUCAGCCAUAGACCAUGAGAAGUUCUCAGGAAGAUAAAGGCCAAUCUGAAAGAUGAAAAGGUAUCAGAGGCAUGCAGGCACAGAGAAAAAGCCAUUUGAGGCCAUCCUCAAGAAGAAGCCAUCUGUAAGCCACAGAGUGGGGCCUUAGGAGAAGCCAAGCUGUCAGCACCUUGAUCUUGGACUUCCAGCCUC
rnacentral:lncRNA from 1 species